rnacentral:lncRNA from 1 species
GUCGGCCCACCAGCACAGGGCCUCAACUUUAAGGGGGCCUCAAAAAAUUUUUCAUUAUCUAUAAUAAGAGCACAAGAUCAAAAGGGCUUGGGCCCAAUUUCUUUAAAUUUACUUAAUAUGGCUUUCUUUAUACGUUAAAGUUCUGAUUUUUUUUUUACAAUUAACCUUUAUUUACAUUUUAUUUCAAAUAUAAUAAUUAAAUUAAUAGGUGUAUAAUAAAUUAUUCAUAAUUAUUUUUAUUAAUAUUAAUAAGGCCACAUUCAAAUUUCAGCA